GUCCUGUCGGGGACAUCCGACGAGGACCAGGGAACAAAGACGAAGAAUAAUCAUCAAGAAAAAUGAAGAAUUGAAGGAUCGAACUACUUUUAUACUCUCUCUCCCAGGUAUGAUCUCUCGCGUCGAAUAUCUCUCUCGAAUGGAAGAUGUUAAUAUGUUUUAUUUUAUUUUUAUUUUAAAUAAAUAUAUAUAUAUUUAUUCCAUAUGAGCAAUCAAAAUAACUCAAAAACUGCUAUAACCAUCUUAUCCUAAAGAAUCAAAGGAAGGGCUCAGCUCUAAUAAGACUCUGCUAAUAGCUGACUGCAAAAAGUUCAAACUUGAACACGUUUCUUUAUUAUCCAAAACAAAGUCUGCUUAUUUUCUCUAGUCUUAAGAAAAAAACUACAUUUAAAAACACAGAGAAAGAGCACUCCAUGUGAAUACCUUCCUGUCUGCAGAACUUGUGAGAUCUGUGUUUUGUAUCCAAUGCAAAUUAUAUGCUAUCCAAUCAAGACUAUUGCAGACCACCAUGGGGAUGGUUCCAAUCAAUGCUGUAAAUUGGUGAAUUUGGGAACUUUGAUGCAACCAACACUGCUCAUGUAAAUUCCACAGAGUUUUUUACAUCUUCCUCAGAGAACAUAAACCUCCCAUUACAGUUAAAAAGGGGAGGAUUCCCCUUUCAAUCUGAGGCUAACCAUUCCUUGAGCUGGAACUAUUAAGGCUUUUGUCCUUGAUUAAUCAUAUUUUUGGCAUAGUACACCACUUUGGGAUUGAUAUUUUAGGGAGUUUGUUUCCCAUGCAGAGUGUAUGAUGGGCUAAUUUUAAUUAUAACCCAUAGGAAUUUAGAAGUUUGGAAGGCAAACUACAGGAUAGCCUCACUUGGUGAUAAUGGAUACAGCCAGCUCUUGUUCUAUCCCAGUGCAGGACAUUGUCUCUUGGUAAUCAAUGGUUGGCUAUGCCCACUUUUUGAUACUGUAGAUUAUUCUACUGAAAACUAGACAAGCCAUCUAAAUGGAACAAAUCCUACCUGGAUGCCCCACUAGAGAUGGGACACGGACACGGUUGUGCAAGUCUGAAUCUCCUGUGUCACUUAGGGAUACUGGUAUAGUAGUAGUAGUAGUAGUAGUAGUAGUAAGAGGGAGGGGCCUAUACAGCCCAAGCACUGCGACCAAUACAGGUCUAUUAUGCGAUACUGGUAUAUGUUUGCACAGACACCAGGCAGAUGCAGAGACAUCUUGGAAAAAUGUCAUCCUAAGUGAGAAUCUCUUAGUGCAUCUCAGACACUAAGAACAUAUUGUACAGCUAAAUUAGAUAUAAGCAUAAUGUUUGCAGGAACAAACCCCCCUAUCUUAUUAAGAUGAGCUCUCAUCAAGAUCUUUCAUAUAUAAUGAACAUUUACUUUAAUCUCUUGAAAAAAUAAGAAUGUCAAGGUUGUAAUAGGGUUUGGAGACAUGGACUUUUUAACUCUCCUAGCACAAUUGAGUCCAUCCAGAUAUGUAACUAUACAAUAUGACUCAUGUUAAACUAUCAUAACAAGAAUUUAAAGGAGCAGAUUUAAAAAACAAUUUAAGAAAUAGAUGAUAUAUUCUGAAUGAUAUAUUAAAUAGAAAUUUAAUAUAUCAUUCAGAAGACAUGCUACAUUUUUAGCCUACUUUUUGAAGGAAAUGGAAGCUUAUAAGA
rnacentral:lncRNA from 1 species